AACGAACGCUGGCGGCGUGCCUAACACAUGCAAGUCGUGCGAGAAAGUUCCUUCGGGAGCGAGUAAAGCGGCGCACGGGUGAGUAACACGUAGGUAACCUGCCCCCCAGUCUGGAACAACUAGAGGAAACUCUAGCUAAUGCCGGAUGAGACCACGAUCCCUUCGGGGGUUGCGGCCAAAGAUGGCCUCUACUUGUAAGCUAUCGCUGAGGGAUGGGCCUGCGGGCCAUUAGCUUGUUGGUGAGGUAACGGCUCACCAAGGCUGUGAUGGCUAGCUGGUCUGAGAGGAUGACCAGCCACACUGGGACUGAGACACGGCCCAGACUCCUACGGGAGGCAGCAGUGGGGAAUAUUGCGCAAUGGGCGAAAGCCUGACGCAGCGACGCCGCGUGGGUGAUGAAGGCCUCGGGUCGUAAGACCCGUGUCGCACGGGGAAGGAAGUAAGACGAUCGGUA
rnacentral:rRNA from 1 species